rnacentral:rRNA from 1 species
UACGGGGGGAGCAAGCGUUGUUCGGAUUUACUGGGCGUAAAGGGCGCGUAGGCGGCGCAACAAGUCACUUGUGAAAUCUCCGGGCUUAACCCGGAAGGUCGAUCGAAUGAUGACUUACGUCGUCGAGGGCUUGACGAUGUAGGCAAGGUAAGGGGGCCGGAAAAGGGCCUUGGAAAUUCCUUGGAACGGUUUCCGUUAGGGUCGGGUUGAAAAUGGCCGGGUUAGGAAAAUUGAACUCGGAUGAAGGGAAACACCUUACGGUCCGGGCGAAAG